GACGGGUGAGUAAUGUCUGGGAAACUGCCUGAUGGAGGGGAUAACUACUGGAAACGGUAGCUAAUACCGCAUAACGUCGCAAGACCAAGGAGGGGACCUUCGGGCCUCUUGCCAUCGGAUGUGCCCAGAUGGGAUUAGCUAGUAGGUGGGGUAACGGCUCACCUAGGCGACGAUCCCUAGCUGGUCUGAGAGGAUGACCAGCCACACUGGAACUGAGACACGGUCCAGACUCCUACGGGAGGCAGCAUG
rnacentral:rRNA from 1 species